UCUAAUAUGGCAGAUUAGUGCCUUGGUUUUAAACACCAAUUAUAAAGAUUCUUUUGUUAGAA
rnacentral:tRNA from 1 species